rnacentral:rRNA from 1 species
UACAGAGGUGGCAAGCGUUGUUCGGAAUUACUGGGCGUAAAGGGCGCGUAGGCGGUUGCCUAAGUCGGACGUGAAAUCCCCAAGCUUAACUUGGGAACUGCAUCUGAUACUGGGUGACUUGAGUUCGGGAGAGGAAUGUGGAAUUCCAGGUGUAGCGGUGAAAUGCGUAGAUAUCAGGAAGAACACCGGUGGCGAAGGCGGCUCGCUGGGCCAGUUCUGACGCUCAGCCGCGAAAGCGUGGGGAGCAAACAGG